rnacentral:rRNA from 1 species
UGGAUCCAGACUUUGAUCAUGGCUCAGGACGAACGCUGGCGGCGUGCCUAACACAUGCAAGUCGAACGGAGAAUUUUAUUUCGGUAGAAUUCUUAGUGGCGAACGGGUGAGUAACGCGUAGGCAACCUGCCCUUUAGACGGGGACAACAUUCCGAAAGGAGUGCUAAUACCGGAUGUGAUCAUCUUGCCGCAUGGCAGGAUGAAGAAAGAUGGCCUCUACAAGUAAGCUAUCGCUAAAGGAUGGGCCUGCGUCUGAUUAGCUAGUUGGUAGUGUAACGGACUACCAAGGCGAUGAUCAGUAGCCGGUCUGAGAGGAUGAACGGCCACAUUGGGACUGAGACACGGCCCACACUCCUACGGGAGGCAGCAGUGGGGAAUCUUCCGCAAUGGACGAGAGUCUGACGGAGCAACGCCGCGUGAGUGAUGAAGGAUUUCGGUCUGUAAAGCUCUGUUGUUUAAGACGAACGUGCAGUGUGUGAACAAUGCAUUGCAAUGACGGUAGUAAACGAGGAAGCCACGGCUAACUACGUGCCAGCAGCCGCGGUAAUACGUAGGUGGCGAGCGUUGUCCGGAAUUAUUGGGCGUAAAGAGCAUGUAGGCGGCUUAAUAAGUCGAGCGUGAAAAUGCGGGGCUCAACCCCGUAUGGCGCUGGAAACUGUUAGGCUUGAGUGCAGGAGAGGAAAGGGGAAUUCCCAGUGUAGCGGUGAAAUGCGUAGAUAUUGGGAGGAACACCAGUGGCGAAGGCGCCUUUCUGGACUGUGUCUGACGCUGAGAUGCGAAAGCCAGGGUAGCGAACGGGAUUAGAUACGCCGGUAGUCCUGGCCGUAAACGAUGGGUACUAGGUGUAGGAGGUAUCGACCCCUUCUGUGCCGGAGUUAACGCAAUAAGUACCCCGCCUGGGGAGUACGGCCGCAAGGUUGCAAC